GCUGGGUGUGGUGGCACACACCUGUAAUCCCAGCUACUUGGGAGGCUGAGGCAGGAGAAUUGCUUGAGCCUGGAAGACGGAGGUUGCAGUGAGCUGAGAUCGUGCCACUGCACUCCAGCCUGGCCAAUAGAGCGAGACUCUGCCUCAA
rnacentral:SRP_RNA from 1 species